rnacentral:rRNA from 1 species
CGUCGGUGGCUGACUGAGCUGAGGAGUUGAUUAGCCUGCUGGACGGCAUAUACAAUAAGCGGAGGAAAGGGGCAUGUGCACACCUUCUCUUUCAUCCAUCACACCCCCUGUGCACUUGUGAGACAGCAAUAGUUGGUGGAUUUAAUUCCAUCAUCCAUUUGCUGUCUACUUAAUUUACACACACUCUACUUAAUUUAAACUGAAUGUAAUUGAUGUAACGCAUCUAAUACUAAGUUUCAACAACGGAUCUCUUGGCUCUCGCAUCGAUGAAGAACGCAGCGAAAUGCGAUAAGUAAUGUGAAUUGCAGAAUUCAGUGAAUCAUCGAAUCUUUGAACGCACCUUGCGCUCCUUGGUAUUCCUUGGAGCAUGCCUGUUUGAGUAUCAUGAAAUCUUCAAAGUAAACCUUUUGUUAAUUCAAUUGGUCUUUUUUACUUUGGUUUUGGAGGAUCUUAUUGCAGCUUCACACCUGCUCCUCUUUGUGCAUUAGCUGGAUCUCAUUGUUAUGCUUGGUUCCACUCAGCGUGAUAACUUAUCUAUCGCUGAUGACACCCGCCAAAAAGGUGGCCAGGGUAAAUGAAGAUGAACCGCUCCUCCCCUUCCGCUGACUUGGAGGAAAUAAUGUCUUAUGAUCUGAUCUCACCUCAUGUAGGACUACCCACCGAACUUAACCAUAUCUUAAUUCUGGGAAAAAGAAAAAAUAUUGGAAUUUUAUUAAUGAGGAGUUGAGUUGUUGCUGGCUUUUCUACUAAUUUGGCAGGAGGGGCAUGUGCACACCUUCUCUUCAUCAUCACACCCCCUGUGCACUUGUGAGACAGCAAUAGUUGGUGGAUUUAAUUCAUCAUCAUUUGCUGUCUACUAAAUUUAACACACUCUACUUAAUUUAAACUGAAAGUAAUGAUGUAACGCACUAUACUAAGUUUCAACACGGACUUUGGGCUCUGCAUCAUUAAAAGCACGAAUGCGAUAAGUAAUGGUGAAUUGCAAAUAUUGAAACACCCAACUUUGAAGCACCUGGCCUCCUGGUUAUUCUUGGAGACAGCCGUUUUGAGUAUACAGAAAACUCUCCAAGAUAAACCUUGUUAAAUCAUGGUUUUUUUUACUGGCUUUGGAAGAGCUCUAUGGACCUCACACCGCUCUCUUGUGAUAUAGCGGAAUACCAGUUAUCCGGGUCUGCGCGCGUAUUAUUUCUCUGGGACGCAUAAAAGGGCGCAAUAAGCAAUAGCCUAUAACUGUCUGUAGCAAAUCUUAGAUGUAGAGUUCUCACUACUCACACGGGUGGCGAACG